GAGAACUGGAGACAGAGAAGGGAGGAGGGAGACAACAGGAUAAUAUGUGGCCAGUUUCGUUUUGUUUUGAACUGGAACUGCUACAGCGUUUGUGUAUGUUGCUAGCUCUUUGGUUCCCGCAGUUGUUUCGUGAUACUUUGUGUUGUUGUAGCACUGUUGUUUUUUCUGUUUCCCUUUAUGUUUGUCCAGAGAACGAGUACCCAACAACACAGCACAUUGGGAUCUCAAGCCUGCACGUACGCUGCAGUUUGGAGUGGUUUUGUAGAAUGGAUCCGUUUUUUCAGUUUACUUCAAGAGAUGGAACGAUGGAAAGCUUUCUGAACUCCACUGCUUGUCUGCUUCUUUACCCAUUCUUGCUUUGGUUAGCAGAGAUCAUAUGCAUAUCUUCCUCCCUUAUUGGUUGGUACAUUUGAUCAUCCGCCUGUCAGCUGCACACCUACCUCCUUGCUGCAGCUGUUCGCGCUGAAUGCAGGUCCUUUGGGCUGUAAAAUGUCACUCUUUCCCUCAUUCCCUACAAGGACUCUGAACUCCAUUAAAAAUAAUGACAGAAAAGGCGUCUCCUUUUUGUAAACAUCUUUUUUUUGGGGGGGGGGGGGGGGGGGAGGCAUCGGUGAAAAGUUGUCCAUCAUCAAUCGUUUUUCCUUUUUCUCAUCAAUUGUCUUGUUUCUUUUGCUCCUGUAAUGUCUGUGCCGUAGCUCGAGCUACCUGUUGAU
rnacentral:lncRNA from 1 species